CUGAUUUGAACCCUGCUUCGUGCUCUUGUUGACUCUCCAAUCUGCUACGGAAUUAGCAGCUACAGGCUAACGAUACCAUGUCUGCUCAUUUGCCCAUUUCAGCAGAGGCUAACAGGAGCAGCUAUGGUCUACUUAAGAAGGAUUUAAACAGUUUCAGCUGCAGUGUGUGUUUCUGUGCAGGGGAUCUCUCCCAAAAGUAUCACAACCAGACAGGUAGUUUGUAAGCAGCGCAUGGAAAACCCUUUGGCAAAGUGCAACUCUCCUGCGCGUGGGUCAUCGCAGCUUUAAGAGCCAGAGGAAAAUAACCGGCCCUGCCCUCCAUCAUCCUCUCAUCCCGCUGACCUCUGCGUACGGUAUAGUAUACUUACUGCACAUACGGGGGGGGUAGAAAAGAGAAUGAUUGCAUAUCUGAAGGCAUCAAGAGAGCAGAUAUGGAUGGCAGAGGAGUGACAUGGUUGGACACAUCUUUGCUUUCUUAUUAGUGAGGGCCUGUACGGACACUUUUGGCUUUUUUUUAUGGGGCCAUGAUGAAACCCCUCUUCGUGCAUCUGCGGAAAAUGGCCAGGGGAAAUCACAGAUGAGAAUCACUCAAAGACAGGGAGAUGUCAACAGGCCCAUAAUGAUAGCUGAUGGCCCCAGAACACUCUCCCCUUUUCCCUCUCAGCCUUACCUGCCCAAGUUGCACUACACUAGAAAACAUAAUUAGAGGUAAAACAGAGAGACGGAAGCUUUAUCUCUGUGUUUUCUGUAAGCAAUGCUCUUUGUUUUAUACAUCUGGGAGUCGUUUUUUUCCCUUCCCAAUCUCUCUUUCACUUCAUGGAGAGAGGGAGGAGGAGGAGGAGAGCUCCCUCUGUGAGAUGCCAAGGUGCUCCCAGUCCAUUGUGCUGCUGGCUGUCAGGUUAAAUUAGGGAGUACAGGCUCCGUGAGUGUAAAAAAAUCAAUACUUGAUGGAAGAUUGCUCCCCGGAAAAUCUGUUUUGAUUCCAGGAUUAAUUCUUGACCAAAGGCUCCAGCAAAAUGACAUGCCAUUAGCCUGAAAAUGAACACAUUCUGCAGUGGAAAUUGGAUGGAAAUGUGUCAGGUGAUUGCCCUGGCUGGUUGUUUUGACUCUUUGAGCGAGGGGGACUGAAGGUGUGGCUGCCGCGAAUGAGGCCUCCGGGCCGACUCCAUUUCCAGAACAGAGACAACUCCACCGUGGCCUCCGGGUAUUCUCAAGGCCAUUGUUGUCCAGCAGCUGCAAAUGCAUUCCACCAAGGUGAAAUGCAUUCGCCCGCCGUUCUGGCCUCUCCUGUGUUUUCCAUAAAGCAUGGCAUGAAGAAAGAGAAAAAUCUGAAAAUAAAACAAGGAUUUUUUUCUACCCUCUCCCUCUGUCUCUACUCAACAGUGAGAAGAAGGGAGGUGAGAUGCAUUAUUGAUGAGUGAAUAAUGUGUUUGUCAUGACGGAUGACAUUUUCUUGUUUGAAAACUUAAACAGGAAGCUGUAAAGAUGCACCGGACAGUGAUUUGAACAGCCGGAGCAUUCAGGCUGCACUAAACAUUUGUAUGAAUGCUCAAGUGUUUCACAGAAAAGAAACAACACAAAACAUGAUUUCUGACACAAACAUGUUUACUCACUGAAACGUUGGAUUUAUUUAUUUGAGAAGGCUUUUAUUUUUUGUCUAAAACAUGGAUGUGUCUUCAGAGUGGUGAUGUUUUAGUAACUGUUGUGUCUCCUGAUUGUUAUCUUUUCAUAAAAUGAGUUACUAAGCCAGUUUUAAGCUUUAAGACACUACAAUUUUAAAGAUAAUUCAAUGCAUUUGUGCUUAUUUAUUUUAGCUUAAGACAUGGUGGAAUUGUCUGACACCAUGUUCAAUCCUUAAAUGUAUCUAGAAACCUAAAAAUCACAAAGUAUAGAGAUGACAUAGUUUUCACUGUACAGCAGUGAUACAGUAUAUUCCAUGUUUCAUUUAAAGCUUUUAAACUUUUCUUUUCUUGGCAUCAUGAGUUUUUUUUUUUCUUUCAUUGAAAAGCAUUUUAAAAACUUUGCAUCUAAAGCCACCACCUGGAAGCUAACAUAGAAUAAUGUGUGUUUUAUGUGUUGUCAGGAUGCUGAAAAUAAACAGUGAGACAGAAACAAAAAGACACGAGGAGACAUUAAUAACUAAUUACAGAGAGUUAUGAGGAAAAAUAUGAUGAUGAGUGUUAAAGUGAUGAUGUAUGUAAACACAGAUGAACUCUGAUUCCUGUGGAUGUUUGGUGGUUGUGAGUCUUUGUGGACCACAGUCAGUUUUACAGUGAGGCUUUAGCGCCCCCUCCAGGAUUUAAACAAAUACUGUAAUUGUUAUAAUUACUGUAAUGUGGCGACGGCAGUACACGCCACAGCUUCUCAUUCAUACAUC